CAACCUGCCCCUAGGCUUUGGGAUAACCCCGGGAAACCGGGGCUAAUACCGAAUAGGACCUCUGACCGCAUGGUUGGUGGUGGAAAGUUUUUCGGCCUGGGAUGGGCUCGCGGCCUAUCAGCUUGUUGGUGGGGUGAUGGCCUACCAAGGCGACGACGGGUAGCCGGCCUGAGAGGGCGACCGGCCACACUGGGACUGAGACACGGCCCAGACUCCUACGGGAGGCAGCAGUGGGGAAUAUUGCACAAUGGGCGGAAGCCUGAUGCAGCGACGCCGCGUGAGGGAUGACGGCCUUCGGGUUGUAAACCUCUUUCAGCAGGGACGAAGCGUAAGUGACGGUACCUGCAGAAGAAGCGCCGGCCAACUACGUGCCAGCAGCCGCGGUAAGACGUAGGGCGCGAGCGUUGUCCGGAUUUAUUGGGCGUAAAGAGCUCGUAGGCGGCUUGUCGCGUCGACUGUGAAAACCCGCAGCUCAACUGCGGGCCUGCAGUCGAUACGGGCAGGCUAGAGUUCGGUAGGGGAGACUGGAAUUCCUGGUGUAGCGGUGAAAUGCGCAGAUAUCAGGAGGAACACCGGUGGCGAAGGCGGGUCUCUGGGCCGAUACUGACGCUGAGGAGCGAAAGCGUGGGGAGCGAACAGGAUUAGAUACCCUGGUAGUCCACGCUGUAAACGUUGGGCGCUAGGUGUGGGGGGCCUCUCCGGUUCCCUGUGCCGCAGCUAACGCAUUAAGCGCCCCGCCUGGGGAGUACGGCCGCAAGGCUAAAACUNAAAGGAAUUGACGGGGGCCCGCACAAGCGGCGGAGCAUGCGGAUUAAUUNGAUGCAACGCGAAGAACCUUACCUGGGUUUGACAUGGCCGCAAAACUGUCAGAGAUGGCAGGUCCUUCGGGGGCGGUCACAGGUGGUGCAUGGCUGUNGUCAGCUNGUGUCGUGAGAUGUUGGGUUAAGUCCCGCAACGAGCGCAACCCUCGUUCGAUGUUGCCAGCGCGUUAUGGCGGGGACUCAUCGAAGACUGCCGGGGUCAACUCGGAGGAAGGUGGGGAUGACGUCAAGUCAUCAUGCCCCUUAUGUCCAGGGCUUCACGCAUGCUACAAUGGCCGGUACAAUGGGCUGCGAUACCGUGAGGUGGAGCGAAUCCCAAAAAGCCGGUCUCAGUUCGGAUCGGGGUCUGCAACUCGACCCCGUGAAGUCGGAGUCGCUAGUAAUCGCAGAUCAGCAACGCUGCGGUGAAUACGUUCCCGGGCCUUGUACACACCGCCCGUCACGUCACGAAAGUCGGCAACACCCGAAGCCGGUGGCCCAACCCUUGUGGAGGGAGCCGUCGAAGGUGGGGCUGGCGA
rnacentral:rRNA from 1 species